rnacentral:rRNA from 1 species
AUUGAACGCUGGCGGCAGGCCUAACACAUGCAAGUCGAGCGAGCGGCGGACGGGUGAGUAAUGUAUGGGGCCUGCCCGAUAGAGGGGGAUAACUAAUGGAAACGGUAGCUAAUACCGCAUACUAGCGGAUAACCCAUAUGGGAUUAGCUAGUAGGAGGGGUAAAGGCUAACCAAGGCGACGAUCUCUAGCGGGUCUGAGAGGAGGAUAAGACACACUGGAACGUGGACACGGCCCAGAUUCCUCCGGAGGAAGCAGUGGGGAAUAUUGCACAAUGGGCGCAAGCCGUAUGCAGCCAUGCCGCGUGUAUGACGAAGGUCUUAGGGUUGUAAAGUAUUUUCAGCGGGUAGGCGUUACCCACAGAAGAAGCACCGGCUAACUCCGUGCCAGCCGCCGCGGUAAUAC